GGGCAGAAACAAAAAUGUCAUUUUAGACAGAACACAGAACUCACUACACGAAACAACAACAAAAAAAGCUGAAAAAUGCAAACAAUGGCCGCCAGCAGUAGCAGCGGCUAUAACAACCCGCGAUCAAUUGCGCGAGAUAAGUGGACAACUCCGCCACCACCACGACAGCACCACCACCAACAUCACCAUCACCAACACCACCACCACCACCGGCACCGCUUUGGGAAGGGCGGCCAACCCAAACGACUCCCUGCCACCACCCACUGCACCGCCCCUUCGGUGCCCUUGCAUUGCUGACAUAUUUCAGAUUGAGUUUCCCUAAACAACCUUUUGUGGAAAACUGUUGGUGGCUGAAAUCAGUAAGCUUGACAAGAAGGAAUGACAUCCUAUAUGCAAGGAAGAAGAAAAGGAUUUCCGAUUAAGUUAAAAAAAAUUAAUGUGGGAAAAUCAAUCAAAGCUGACCUCAU
ensembl:ncRNA lncRNA:CR45630 long non-coding RNA:CR45630